rnacentral:rRNA from 1 species
GGGGAAUAUUGCGCAAUGGGCGAAAGCCUGACGCAGCGACGCCGCGUGAGGGAUGAAGGUUUUCGGAUCGUAAACCUCUGUCAGAAGGGAAGAAACCGCACCGUGCUAAUCAGCGGUGCCUUGACGGUACCUUCAAAGGAAGCACCGGCUAACUCCGUGCCAGCAGCCGCGGUAAUACGGAGGGUGCAAGCGUUAAUCGGAAUUACUGGGCGUAAAGCGCACGUAGGCUGCUUUGUAAGUCAGGGGUGAAAUCCCACGGCUCAACCGUGGAACUGCCGUUGAUACUGCUUAGCUUGAAUCCGGUAGAGGGUGGCGGAAUUCCAGGUGUAGGAGUGAAAUCCGUAGAUAUCUGGAGGAACAUCAGUGGCGAAGGCGACUUUCUCGUCUGCAACUGACGCUGAGGCGCGAAAGAAUGGGGAGCAAACA